AAGUCCCUGCUUUGUUCGUGGUGAAGCUGAAUUUGUUAUGAACCAACAGAAUUACCUAGGGAGUCCGGUCUCUACGGAUGGCAUGCAGGCCGUCUGUUUGGCGGAAACAUAAAAUCAGUAGGAGGACACCCACUCUGCGUGCGCAGGGUUCAGGUAACUUUCAGCAUAACGGCACGGCGGGGCUUUU
rnacentral:other from 1 species